rnacentral:lncRNA from 1 species
AUUUUUCAAGAGAGCCAGGAGGGGGCGCACGUCCACCGAUAAACUGUGAGCAAGAGCGUCCUGUGCUGAGUCCUGACGGCCACCAGAUGGCAUGUGAACCCGCCUCUUCUGACCAUCACCCCUCAGAUGGUGGGAGCCGGGAGACAAGAACUUCAUUCUCCUCAAGGCUCCAGGAUGGAGAUCUUAACUUGAUGCUGUUCAGUG